UCAUUAUAAUAUAAAAUUAUCUCAAAACAUAUUUUUUUAUGACGUUUUUUCACCACUUGCAGGCAAUGGUGAUUUUCACUUACAUAGAGUACUAAUUUGAUUAAGGAAAAAUCAUGUUCAUUCAUAAUUUUCAUUUUAAAAGUGUAUUCAUUCCUUCUGCAAAUCCAUACUGUCAUGCCUAUUCCCCAAUAUCGUCAACGCGGUAGUUCGUUAGUCGAAAAUACUGAAUAAUUAAACAAACCAAAUGGCAUCACUGGUGGUUCUUCUUUCCACUCCGCUAAACUGUCAUCUCAAACAAAAACAAAUGGAUCAUACAACUGCUAUGAAUACAUUCGACUCGUUUGCUUCCAUCAAUCGGUAAGUGAGAAAGAUGAUUUCUCCCAUCACUACAGUGCGGAUUUCCACUUCUAUCACAGCAGCCAACAACAUCCGUUUUCCUGCAGCAGUAACCUCCAACCCCUGUUGGCAAUGCCGGGCAGCAUCAACAGCAGCAGCAGCAGAAUUUGACCAUGGUAUGGUAUUGCGAAGAACUUUCCCCAUUAGAGGUUCCGUGCUUGCGCACAUUCAAAAAUCCUCUUCAGACACGAAAACUCAACGACAAGGAGGUAUUUAUCAACUUGCUCAGCUGAAUUACCACCCCGGAGGAACCCGAAUGCACUGACUCCGUUGUAUAGUAGAAAGAAAAUAGGCGAGGUAAGCGAACGUAAUCGCAUUAUAUUUUAAUGUUCGCAUUUUUAUCCGGAUCAUACAACUGCUAUGAAUACAUCCUCAAUCAAUCGGCGAGUGAGAAAGAUGAUUUCCCUCAUCACCACAUUGCUUAUUUCCACUUCUGUCACACCAGCCAACAGCAUCAGCUUUCCCGCAGCAGUAUCCUUUAAGACCAGGGUGCUAUUCCGGGGAACAGCAUCAACAGCAACAGUAUCAGGACCUGGCCAUCGAUAGUAUUUCGAGCAAUUUUCCCCAUCGGAGAUCUCGUGCUUCACGCACAUUGAAGAAUCCUCCUCAGCCACAUAUCUGUGUCAUCAAGGGCAAGGAGGUAUUCAUCAAUGUACUCAGUCGGAUUUGAAUCGUCAAUCCAGACAACCCGGCUGCACCGAUUCCAUUAUAUACCUUAUUUUUAUUA